AGUAGAGUCAGCUAAACACAAAGCUAUCGGGCCCAUACCCCGAAAAUGAUGGUUUAACCCCUUCCUCUACUA
rnacentral:tRNA from 1 species